CGGGUGCACCAGAAGUAGGUAGGCUAACUCGCAAGAGAGGCCGUUACCACGGUGCGCUUCGUGACUGGGGUG
rnacentral:rRNA from 1 species